AGAGAGAGACAUGCGCGCAUAUCAAUAAGCGGAGGAAAAGAAACUAACAAGGAUUCCCUUAGUAACGGCGAGUGAAGCGGGAAGAGCUCAAAUUUGAAAUCUUCAAGGGUUUACCUUUACGAAUUGUAGUUUAAAGAAGUGUUUUCUGUUGAAGGUUUCGGUAAAAGUUCUUUGGAAUAGGACAUCAUAGAGGGUGAGAAUCCCGUAUUUGACCGUUACUUUUCAACUUUGUGAUACACUUUCAAAGAGUCGGAUUGUUGGGAAUGCAGUCCAAAAUGGGUGGUAAAUUUCAUCUAAAGCUAAAUAUUGGCGAGAGACCGAUAGCGAACAAGUACCGUGAGGGAAAGAUGAAAAGAACUUUGAAAAGAGAGUUAAACAGUACGUGAAAUUGUCAAAAGGGAAGCGUUUGACACCAGUGUUGUUUUUCUGAAAAUCAAUUAAAGAACUGUUUAUGCUAAGUUGUUUAGACUUUAUCAACUAACUGUUUAGUUUUGAGCUUUUCUUUAAUGCACUUUUCAGUUAACAAGUCAACAUCAAUUUCUUUUGCUGUAAAAAAGCUUGAGGAAGGUGGCUUGAGAUUCGUCUUAAGUGUUUAUAGCCUCUUGCCUAUGCAGUCGGAGAGAUUGAGGUCUGCAGCGUAGAUCCUUCGGGGCUAAAUGCAUUUGUGCUAAGUUAUAGCAUUUUAUAGACAACUUGUUGACUAUGAUUUGUCUUGUAGCUUACUCGCUUAUGUUAUUUUACCUACGCUUAGGAUGUUGAGCGCAUGUCUCUCUCU
rnacentral:rRNA from 1 species